UACGGAGGGGGCUAGCGUUGUUCGGAAUUACUGGGCGUAAAGGGCGCGUAGGCGGGCCCGUAUGUCGAUUGUGAAAGCCCUGGGCUUAACCCGGGAAUGGCAGUCGAAACUGCGGGUCUUGAGUGCCUGAGAGGAUGGCGGAAUUCCCGGUGUAGAAGUGAAAUUCGUAGAUAUCGGGAAGAACACCUGAGGCGAAGGCGGCUAUCUGGCGGUGCACUGACGCUGAGGCGCGAAAGCGUGGGGAGCAAACAGG
rnacentral:rRNA from 1 species